CUAACUUGCCCUGAGGGUGCAGGUGGGCUCUGCCCCCUCCGCGUGUCCAGGGGCCUCUCAGUCCCCACCUCGGGUGCCAGGAAAGACCCAGGACUUCCUCCUCAGUCAGAGGGGCUGCCCCCUCCUCCGAGCUCCAGGGGGACUUCAUUAACCUUCACACCAGGACGUGUGACCUCUGGCACGCCGGCCACUGCACAUGGGACAUACAGAUCUGUCUCUGGGGCCUGAUUAGUGACCCUCCAAGGUCAAAACCGGCAUCUCCUGUGACACCCAAAACGGGGCCUGCCACACGGAGGCGGUUGCUGUAACAGGGCUGUACGGAAUAAAAUGGAAAAAUAACCCUCCUCGAAUUUUUAACGCCAGAUGACCCAACCGCUCAUCCACUCCUGGUGACAAUGAGGCACGGCUCUGUGGAGGACUCACUGUCACAGCUCACUGCAGCAGCUCGCGGGAGGACGUGCCAAGAGGAGCUGAGGCCCGACAAUGCCCAGCAUCCUCGGGAACCCUGCCCCCAUCCUGUCCCUGGCCCACCGCCGCCUCCAAGGCCAGGCUACAUGCCCACCCUUCUCUCUGAAUCCUUCCUGCCUCUCAGUCCACAAGGGAUCCCGUCCUCCUCUGAAACUCCCGACUCCUGGUUGAGGACAACGCCUCUGCCGCUGAGUCCUGCUCCAUCUUGCGCUCCGGGCCUAGCACCCAUAGGCUCCGUUAGCUCUUCCAGCGUCCACCCCCCCCAACCCCCGGCUCGGCUCCGGAGACCCGCUCUCCUCCUGCUCCGCCCAGUGCGCACCUGAGCUUUGUCUCCAGCGCAGUAAACGUCCUGCGAGAUGGACCUGCCACGCCGACCCGGGCUCGGAAAGGGAAGUGGCCUCCCUGCUCUGCGCCCUGGGAGAGACGCCCAGAGGCCACUCUCGUCUCGGCGGCCCGUUACCUUUGGUCCCUACAGUCGCCAUUGCCUGCUGAGAAAUACCUUCUCCAAGCCGAACCCUCUGGCUCCUCUCCAAAGAAUCCCGGACCUUUGCGCUCUGCCGUCUUGGUGGCUGUGCUGAGUCACGCGUCCGCAUCUUCAAUUUCAACACUCACCAAAGCAUGGGGAGCACGGUGCUGUCGCGCUCACCCCUUCCUGCUGCCAGCGACCCCAGGAGGCCCGUCCUUCAUCUCCCCAGCUCCCAAGAAGCCGCAGGACUCACCCUGGACUUGGGCGGGUGCCUCCCUGCAGACAGAGGGUUCCAGCAUCUGUCCCCGGGCACUCGGAUGCUCUGACCGGCUGCCACACUGGGCCCCGCAGUGUGAGUUCCCCUUUCUCAAUAAACACUUGCUGCCCUCACCCGA
ensembl:lncRNA